CCAAUAGCGUAUAUUAGUGUUGUUGCGGUUAAAAAGCUCGUAGUUGAAUUUCGGGAUUGGGAUAUAUCGAUCGUGCCUUUAGGGGCAUGAAACGGUGUGUAGCCAAUUUCUCACCUUCUGGUGAGUCGGGAUGCUCUUGGGUGUUUCGAUGAAUCAGGACCUUUACUUUGAAAAAAUUAGAGUGUUUAAAGCGGGCAUUU
rnacentral:rRNA from 1 species